UGCCAUGCAUGUCUAAGUAUAAACAAAUCUAUACUGUGAAACUGCGAAUGGCUCAUUAUAUCAGUUAUAGUUUAUUUGAUGGUUCUUGCUACUUGGAUAACCGUAGUAAUUCUAGAGCUAAUACAUGCACCAAACCUCGACUUUUUUGGAAGAGGUGUAUUUAUUAGAUGGAAACCAAUGCGGGGCAACCCGGAUUCAGGUGAUUCAUAAUAACUUUCGGAUCGAUCUUCGGAUCGAUGCAUCAUUCAAGUUUCUGCCCUAUCAGCUUUGGAUGGUAGGGUAUUGGCCUACCAUGGCUUUAACGGGUAACGGAGAAUUAGGGUUCGAUUCCGGAGAGGGAGCCUGAGAAACGGCAACCACAUCCAAGGAAGGCAGCAGGCGCGUAAAUUACCCAAUCCUGACACAGGGAGGUAGUGACAAUGAAUAACAAUGCCGGGCCUUUUUAAGUCUGGCAAUUGGAAUGAGAACAAUUUAAAUCCCUUAUCGAGGAUCAAUUGGAGGGCAAGUCUGGUGCCAGCAGCCGCGGUAAUUCCAGCUCCAAUAGCGUAUACUAAAGUUGUUGCAGUUAAAAAGCUCGUAGUUGGAUUUCUGGCGUCGGCUUUCGGCCCUUCUCGCGAGAGUUGCGUGCUUUGAGUUCGGCGCCAUCCUCGGGCAGACCACGUCUUGCAUUCAUUUGCCGGGCGCGCGUAUCUCCCGUCUUUUACUGUGAGCAAACUAGAGUGUUCAAAGCAGGCUUAUGCCGUUGAAUAAUUUAGCAUGAAAUAAUAAGAUAUGACCUUGGUCAAUUUUGUUGGUUUAUA
rnacentral:rRNA from 1 species